GUGAAAAGGAAAAUUUCUCCAGCUUGGGAAGGGGUGAAACUGCAGAUCACCCCCAUCCCUCGAUGGAUGCAAAAUAAAAUAUAAAUAAAAUAUUGUAAUAUACUAUUGCUGUUAUAUAAAAAGAUAAUAACAUUAAUAAUAACAUAAUAUUAAUAUGAAGAGGCACCUCAGUCAGCUAUGAUGUGAGGUGGAUAAUUGUUAAAAGUAGUCUGCAUCAAGCUUAAGGUUUGCUCAAAUUCAGUAUAAUGACAUAUGAGAUGAAGAAAAUAAAGAAAAUAUCUAAACUAAUUAAGUGCAUAGAGGCACUUCACCUGCUCGAAAACCUGUCAUCCUAGAUGAGACAUUGCUGAAAUAUAGAGCACACCUAUACUAACAACUAACAAGCUAAACCCUCUAUACAACAGCUAAAGCUACACAAUUGAGAAGCUGAAUUAAAUAUAUGGUUACUGCUAAGCUGAUGAGCAGGUUACACAUUUUUUAGAGCAGGAGCUGCAUAAGAACACAUCAGAGGGAGGGAAACAGCUAUUAAAGCUCAAACAUGAAGCUGUCUGUGGGCUCAGUUUUUUUUUUUUCCCUCACGCUUCUGAUUUGUUUUUGGCAGUAGCCUUUUUGCAUCCUGACUUAUGUGCGUAAAGCGUUUAAGCCAUCAGUAACUUGUUUUUGUUUUGUUUUGUUUUUUGUUUUGUUGGUUUGAAAAAUGAAUAAAUCUGUGAUCAUACUUGUGGAUCACAGUGGCACAUAAUGAUUAGGCAUAUGAUUUACUAAUGCAGAUGUAAUAACUUUAUUCUAAAAUUCAAGGAGAACAAACAAGAACAACAUCUUCAGUUAUGUCUUGUUGUUGUUCUCUGUGCAGUGUGCUGAGUUUUGUUUUUUGUUUCUUUUGUUUUUUGAAAUGUUGCUUGAGUGAUGAGUACUGUAACUUCUGAAGUGGCUCUCACCAUGUGUCCUUGAUGAUGAUAAGUUCAGAGCCAGCUGAGAGCUGGGUUGUCUGUUUUGUUUUAGGUGACAAGCCAGAAAAGUUAAAACUUAGUUUCUUGAGAAGCAACUGAGGUCAAAAGGCACCUCAGAAUGGACAAAACACGGAAGAAGAUGCAGGUUUCACCUGCGGUGAGCAUGGACACUGGAGAAAGGACUGCCCCAAUUGGGGCCAGGACCAGGACAGACUGAACUUUGAGCAGCAGCAGCAAUGGUUGCAACCGGACUGAAAAGGAGGAGGGCAGGACUCCAGGGCACGCUUCAGGCCGUGGUUUAC
ensembl:lncRNA